UGGUGGAGUGAUCUGUCUGUGUUAAUUCCGUUAACGAACGAGACCUCAGCCUACUAACUAGUUGCGGGCGGCCCUCCGGUCGCACCGCAGACUUCUUAGAGGGACUUUCGGUGUUUCAGCCGAAGGAAGUUUGAGGCAAUAACA
rnacentral:rRNA from 1 species